rnacentral:rRNA from 1 species
AAUCAACGCUGGCGGCGUGCCUCAGACAUGCAAGUCGAACGCGAAAGGCUCCUUCGGGGGCCGAGUAGAGUGGCGCACGGGUGAGUAACACGUAGGUAAUUUGCCUUUGGGUGGGGAGUAACUCAGGGAAACUUGAGCUAAUACCGCAUAAUGCAGCGGCUCGACAUCGAGACAGUUGUUAAAGCGGGGGAUCGCAAGACCUCGCGCCUGAAGAGAAGCCUGCGGCAGAUUAGCUAGUUGGUAGGGUAAUGGCCUACCAAGGCGACGAUCUGUAACCGGCCUGAGAGGGCGGUCGGUCACACUGACACUGACAUACGGGUCAGACUCCUACGGGAGGCAGCAGUCGGGAAUUUUGGGCAAUGGGCGCAAGCCUGACCCAGCAACGCCGCGUGAAGGAUGAAAUCCCUC